GGUAUUGUUUGCCCCAUGAUAGGCCCCGGAAACCAAUUAUGAAUCGAACAAUCA
rfam:Aerococcus viridans ATCC 11563 = CCTG 4311 strain ATCC 11563 contig00120, whole genome shotgun sequence.